CAGGAGCGGAGGCGGGCCGGCAACCCGGCCCGCGGAGCCGGCGCCAGCGGGCUGCUGAGGUGGCUGUCGCCGGCUCGGAGCUGCGGCUUCCCCGGGUCGAGUCCCCGAUGGAGGCCGAGGCGGCGGACGGCCCCCCGAGCGGGGUCGAGGCGGCGCUCAGCUGCUUCUCUUUCAACCAGGACUGCACAUCCCUAGCAAUUGGAACCAAAGCCGGUUAUAAGCUGUUUUCUUUGAGUUCUGUGGAGCAACUGGACCAAGUCCAUGGAAGCAACGAGAUCCCAGAUGUCUACAUCGUGGAGCGCCUUUUCUCCAGCAGCCUGGUGGUGGUGGUCAGUCACACGAAGCCGCGACAGAUGAAUGUCUAUCACUUCAAGAAAGGCACGGAGAUCUGCAAUUACAGCUAUUCCAGCAACAUCUUGUCCAUAAGGCUGAACCGGCAGAGGCUGCUGGUGUGCCUGGAGGAGGCCAUUUACAUUCACAACAUCAAAGACAUGAAGCUGUUGAAGACCAUCCUGGAUGUCCCUGCAAACCCAACAGGUCUGUGUGCCCUCUCUAUCAACCAUUCCAAUUCGUAUGUGGCCUAUCCCGGAAGCCUGACUACGGGCGAGAUUGUGCUUUACGAUGGACACUCCCUGAAAACAGUCUGCACUAUUGCUGCCCACGAGGGGACGCUGGCUGCCAUCACCUUCAAUGCCUCGGGCUCCAAACUAGCGAGUGCCUCUGAAAAAGGCACUGUCAUCCGGGUGUUCUCCGUACCUGACGGCCAAAAGCUCUACGAGUUUCGGAGAGGCAUGAAAAGGUACGUGACAAUCAGCUCGCUGGUGUUCAGUAUGGACUCACAGUUCCUCUGUGCCUCGAGCAACACCGAGACCGUGCACAUCUUCAAGCUGGAGCACAUCACUAACAGCCGACCAGAAGAGCCUUCAACCUGGACUGGCUACAUGGGAAAAAUGUUCAUGGCUGCUUCCAACUACCUCCCCACCCAGGUGUCAGACAUGAUGAACCAGGACAGGGCCUUCGCCACCGGACGUUUGAAUUUCUCUGGCCAGAGGAAUAUCUGCACCCUCUCAACGAUCCAGAAACUGCCGAGGCUUCUGGUUGCAUCAUCUGAUGGCCACCUUUACAUCUACAAUUUGGACCCUCAGGACGGAGGAGAAUGUGUCUUAAUCAAGACCCACAGCUUGCUUAGCUCAGGAACAACAGAAGAAAAUAAAGAAAAUGACCUCAGACCUUCAUUACCUCAGUCUUACGCAGCAACUGUAGCCAGACCAAGCACCUCGUCCGCCUCCACGGUGCCAGGUUAUUCUGAGGACGGCGGAGCCCUCCGAGGAGAGGUUAUUCCUGAACAUGAGUUUGCAACGGGACCAGUGUGUCUUGAUGAUGAGAAUGAAUUCCCCCCUGUGAGCAUUAGGAAUCCCUAAAAGAGUGGCUCAGUCUGUGUGCUUAGAAGGAAACCUUCAGCUCGGGCAGGACGCGAAGUCACUGUCCCUGUUCUCUCGUCCUAUAACAGCUAACCUCCUCUCUAAUAGUCAGAAAGCCAUAGCUGGCGCCGUGGGUUUCCGGCCCUACAGACUAGCCAUCAGGUGUCGGGCUAAAGCCGGCAGCAUUCGAAUAACCGAAUACUAAUCCAGGGAGUCUCAGCGGCCUCACUACAUUCGGAGGCCUGGAAUCCUUAACUUGGCUUCCUUAGCACUCUCUGUGCUGUUCACAAGGUAGGAAUUCAUGCCUGCGGAAACUCCUGUUUGCCUGAGGCUCCGUUAAGGAUGUCCCUGCUGAAUACUGCCACCUUUUUGCUAAAGACCAUGAUCUAACCGGGCUGGGCCGCUGUGCUCUGCAAGCAAGCUAGACCCUCACCCCCCUCCGGCUCUCAGGGGCUGACCCCAGGCUCCCGGCGGCCAUGUGGAGGGUGGGGGGCUCGGUGGAGGGCUCCCCUGCAUUUCCCUGCAUCCUGCUUCAGCCCUUCCGGCAGCAAGCACCCCCCCGGGUUGGCCGGGUGCAAGGCUUGGCUUCUUCCAGCACCCCCGACUGAAGCGAGGAUUCUCGCCCUGGGCGGCUGCCAGGGCCUCAGCUUCUCAUUCUUCAAACUUCCAUUUCGAGCAACACCAGGCGACUCUCGUGAGCUGCGGUUAGAGUGAUAAUCUUGUGCCGUGGAAGUCAGAAGGGCAAAACGAAGCAGUCAUGAUGAGAAGCGCACCUCAGAAAUCAGGACACCCCCUAUCAGGUGGUUUUGGAGAAAACAAGGAAGGUGGAAGAAUGGAGUACAAUUGUGUGUGCAGAAAGGGGGGCACGGCUCUCCAGGCUCUCCUCUGCCCCGGUUGCCAGUGGGUACAGGAGACACUGUAUACACAUCCUGCUAUUCAAAUUACGUUACAGCCAUAGUGUCAAUGCUAACUAACCAUAUUGGUCUAUAACCGGAACUUUAUAUGAUAAAGGGCAUCCUUUUUAAAUGUAUGCCGUGUAAAAAUGUACUUAUAGGAAAAUCUCUUUGAAUUGUAUUUCUUGUGUAUUACAUACAUAUAGAGAGGCUGUUUUCAGCCAGGCAAAGUAUUUUUGCAGUGAUUGCAAUAAAUCAUUUAUUACCUUUGAGUCCCAUUUAGGACACUAAUAAUAAAAUCAUGGCAAUGCA